UACGUAGGGUGCAAGCGUUGUCCGGAAUCAUUGGGCGUAAAGCGCGCGUAGGCGGCCCGAUAAGUCCGCUGUGAAAGUCAACGGCUCAACUGUUGGAUGCCGGUGGAUACUGUCGGGCUAGAGUACGGAAGAGGCAAGUGGAAUUCUUGGUGUAGCGGUGAAAUGCGUAGAUAUCAAGAGGAACACCUGCGGCGAAGGCGGGUUGCUGGGCCGACACUGACGCUGAGGCGCGAAAGCUAGGGGAGCGAACGGG
rnacentral:rRNA from 1 species